rnacentral:misc_RNA from 1 species
GAUUGCUGAAGCCAUGAGCAAGGUAGGAAGAAAGGGUGUGGUGACUCUUGAAGAGGGAAGGAGUGCUGAUAACAGUCUCUAUGUUGUCGAAGGAAUGCAGUUUGACAGGGGUUAUAUCUCUCCUUAUUUUGUGACUGAUAGUGAGAAAAUGGCUGUGGAAUUCGAGAACUGCAAGCUGCUUCUUGUUGACAAAAAGAUCACCAAUGCAAGGGAUCUCAUUAACAUACUGGAGGAUGCUAUCAGGGGUGGCUAUCCUGUUGUCAUAAUGGCAGAGGAUAUUGAGCAAGAAGCUCUGGCAACUCUUGUUGUAAAUAAACUGAGAGGAUCUUUGAAGAUUGCUGCACUUAAAGCUCCUGGGUUUGGAGAGCGCAAGAGCCAGUACCUUGACGACAUUGCUAUUCUCACUGGAGGCACGGUUAUCAGAGAGGAGGUAGGGCUUUCCUUGGAUAAAGCUGGAAAGGAGGUACUUGGACACGCAUCCAAGGUAGUGCUUACCAAAGAUACUACAACCAUCGUUGGUGAUGGUAGCACCCAAGACGCAGUUUCUAAGCGUGUUGCACAGAUCAAAAAUCUGAUCGAGGCUGCAGAACAGGACUAUGAGAAAGAGAAACUUAACGAGAGAAUUGCUAAACUUUCUGGUGGUGUAGCUGUUAUUCAGGUUGGAGCACAAACUGAGACAGAACUCAAGGAAAAGAAACUGAGAGUUGAAGAUGCUCUAAAUGCUACAAAGGCAGCUGUUGAGGAAGG